CAGUAGCCGCGGUAAUACGAAGGGUGCAAGCGUUAAUCGGAAUUACUGGGCGUAAAGCGUGCGUAGGUGGUGGUUUAAGUCCGUUGUGAAAGCCCUGGGCUCAACCUGGGAAUUGCAGUGGAUACUGGGUCACUAGAGUGUGGUAGAGGAUAGUGGAAUUUCCGGUGUAGCAGUGAAAUGCGUAGAGAUCGGAAGGAACAUCUGUGGCGAAGGCGACUAUCUGGGCCAACACUGACACUGAGGCACGAAAGCGUGGGGAGCAAACAGGAUUAGAUACCCCAGUAGUCCCUGUCUCUUAUAC
rnacentral:rRNA from 1 species